UACGAAGGGGCUAGCGUUGCUCGGAAUCACUGGGCGUAAAGGGUGCGUAGGCGGGUCUUUAAGUCAGGGGUGAAAUCCUGGAGCUCAACUCCAGAACUGCCUUUGAUACUGAGGAUCUUGAGUUCGGAGAGGUGAGUGGAACUGCGAGUGUAGAGGUGAAAUUCGUAGAUAUUCGCAAGAACACCAGUGGCGAAGGCGGCUCACUGGCCCGAUACUGACGCUCAUGCACGAAAGCGUGGGGAGCAAACAGG
rnacentral:rRNA from 1 species